rnacentral:rRNA from 1 species
CCUACGGGAGGCUGCAGUGGGGAAUAUUGCACAAUGGGCGCAAGCCUGAUGCAGCCAUGCCGCGUGUGUGAAGAAGGCCUUCGGGUUGUAAAGCACUUUCAGCGGGGAGGAAGGCGUUAAGGUUAAUAACCUUGGCGAUUGACGUUACCCGCAGAAGAAGCACCGGCUAACUCCGUGCCAACAGCCGCGGUAAUACGGAGGGUGCAAGCGUUAAUCGGAAUUACUGGGCGUAAAGCGCACGCAGGCGGUCUGUCAAGUCGGAUGUGAAAUCCCCGGGCUCAACCUGGGAACUGCAUUCGAAACUGGCAGGCUAGAGUCUUGUAGAGGGGGGUAGAAUUCCAGGUGUAGCGGUGAAAUGCGUAGAGAUCUGGAGGAAUACCGGUGGCGAAGGCGGCCCCCUGGACAAAGACUGACGCUCAGGUGCGAAAGCGUGGGGAGCAAACAGGAUUAGAUACCCCGGUAGUC